UGGUCAUCGCGCUUGGUUGAA
rnacentral:snRNA from 1 species